rnacentral:misc_RNA from 1 species
GUUGGAGGUAGCAGGCUUCUUAGUCUGCUCCUCUUAAAUGCAUUAGCGGAACCUAACAUUGUCCCAUUUUUGGUGUGAUAAUUAUCUACAUCAUGAAUGCGGUACAAACUUUUGUAGGGUUCGGCUUCUAACAGUCCAUUCACUUGGACAACUCUUGACAAUUUGACCUCAAAUCAGGUAGGACUACCCGCUGAACUUAA